rnacentral:rRNA from 1 species
GGUAAAAAAGCUCGUAGUUGGAUUUCUGUUGAGGACGACCGGUCCAUACCACGUAUGCGCAUCUGGCUCGGCCUCGGCAUCCUCUCGAUAGACGUUUCUGCGCUUGAUUGCGUGGAGCGGAUCUCGGGACUUUUACUUUGAGGAAAUUAGAGUGUUCACGGCAGGCUAUCGCCAGAAUACAUUAGCAUGGAAUAAUACUAUAGGAUCUCGGUUCUAUUUUGUUGGUUUCUAGAAUUGAGAUAAUGAUUAAUAGGGACAAUUGGGGGCAUUCGUAUCAACACGUCAGAGGUGGAAUUCUUGGAUUGUGUUGCGACGAACUACUGCGAAAGCAUUUGCCAAGGAUGUUUUCAUUGAUCAAGAACGAAAGUAAGGGGAUCGAAGACGAUUAGAUACCGUCGUAGUCUUUACCAUAAACUAUGCCAACUAGAGAUCCGGCAUCGUUCACUUACGACUUGCUGGGCACCUUAUGGAUACUAAAGUCUUUGGGUUCCGGGGGGAGUAUGGUCGCAAGGCUGAAACUUAAAGGAAUUGACGGAAGGGCACCACCAGGAGUGGAGCCUGCGGCUUAAUUUGACUCAACACGGGGAAACUCACCAGGUCCAGACAUAAUAAGGAUUGACAGAUUGAUAGCUCUUUCUUGAUUUUAUGGGUGGUGGUGCAUGGCCGUUCUUAGUUCGUGGAGUGAUUUGUCUGCUUAAUUGCGUUAACGA